CCACCUUACCAUUAUUAUUUCCCUGAAAACAAGUAUAAUUACCAGGAUAUACUUGGACAACAUCAUUUAAAUUAAACUUGGGUUCACCAAUAGGGUGACCCUUUUUCCAUUCUUCACAUUCUGUAGUAUUAACAGUGAUACCUGAAAACAAACUUAGGAAACAUUCCCAGUACUCAUCAGGGACAUGUAAAGGUACAGUUCCUAGAUGAGGUCUGGCACUACCACAUACAUAACAGUUUGACCUAUUGUUGGAAUGGGCAUUAUAUCUCAUCCAUUCCAGCCAUAGGUUUGUAUCUGCAUACCCUGUUUCUAACGCUAUGGUAUCUCCAAACGUGGGAUCUGCUUUGGCCAUCAUAUUACCAAGGGUCUGAAUGUGGGGCUUUAGAGGAUUAACAAGAGUUUGUCUAGAGGUGAGGCUUUCCCAUUUUGAGGAGUUCCAUAUAUCUUUUAACUGGAUUUUUCCUCGAUUACCUCCAAUACCUCCUCUUAAAAAGGUACUGAGAAUAUAAAUACCUUGAUCUCCAGGACUGGGGUUUUCAAUAUUUAAGGUAAAUUUCAUGGAGUGCCCAGUUUGCCCUAUAGAGGUACAUGUACCUGGCUUUGUUAGGGUCAUUCUAGUCAAGAGGGACUUCCCAUUCGUAUCCUUUUUAUCUAAUGCAUUCUGUGGCUUAUAACCCCAAUCUGUCCCGGUGUUCCAUCCAACUGAGCCCCAAUAAUCACAAUUGUUACCCCUCUUUGAGCAAUAUAUAUUGCUCAUAUCAUCGGUUAACAUUCUCCCAAGACAGAGAAAUUUCCACAUUAUGGCAUUCCCAAGCAAUCAUGUGGUCUACAAGAAACAGAAACUCAGCAGAAAAAAAACAAAACAAAAACCACUUAAUACUUUUGCAGACAGAUAUAUAGAAAAUGGAUGUUUAAGACAGAAUGGAACUUGGGCUUAUAGCAACUAUAUUAUAGCACAACCAGGACCUUGCGUCCUAUAUCUUUUAACCAUUUCCCUAUUCCAAAAGUCCAGUCAAAACCAGUCAUAUCCUCACGCAGUUCCUCAAAACAUGGGAAUCCAUCCCUGGCACACUCAACAUAUAUCAAAAACACACAUAGUACAUCCAUCCCUGGGUCAGCUAACACUUCCUCUCUCUCUGGCUAACUCUACAAAAAUAAAAAUAGUUCAAUAGUUCAGCAUAGUUCAGAAAAAUAGAAUAAGUCUUUCACAGAGUAUAAAGAAAUCAGUUUAGACACCAGACAUUUUGUUCCAUAAAAAUGGCUAAGGGUAGCAAUAUGGCUGACAACAAGACAAUGUCAGCUUCCAUAUAGUUCUUAGUUCUUCUUUUGUUUGCUGGAUUUUCACCACAAAGCUCUGUGCAACACCCCAAUGGUUGAAAGGGUUAUUACAGAACCAGCGGCAUUAGACAGCACUGCACCUUCAGGACUUUCCAGGUUCUUGCGUGCAAAGUUUAUGUCCUCAUAAAUAAGUAUCUCAGUUUCUUCGGCCUGCAUGGAUUAUGACCAAACAGACGUAAUUGCAAAAUACUUAUUGCAUGGUCAGCCAGAGAGAUUGGUGUGUAGUCCCAGAAAUCAGGCGGCACAAACACUCCAGGACGGUCUCUACAAUCAUACAAACACAAGGAUCAAUACAACAUGAAUUAAUUACCUAGGCUAAAACUUAAAUUAGAGAUUAAGGUUAAACCCUUAAUUUGUGUAACAUGUACUUCUCUUAUAUUUUAUGCAAUCUGUCUUCUAUAAAGUUUUACAUAAUACCCCUUUGGAAUGCCUUUGCACGGAUGAGAGUAGCACUCACUCUAUAGAAAUCCUUGUUAGGAUGAAUAUUAAAACACUAACAUAUACAUAUGGGGAUAAUUCCCAAUAAAACUCUGUUCCUAAACUGGAACCUUGAUUUGAUAUUCAAAAUUAAUUACUUUAAUAAUCCCGAAUAAUUCAAUACUCUUGGAUUAACACCUAAACCUAUAUAAAAUAUUACAAACAUGAACCAUCUGUGUAUUAGGCUGGGGUUGUUGGGUGUGGGUAUAGGUUGGAAGCUAUGGUUGGUAUUGAGGAAUCUGUGGGGGUGGGUUUGGGCACUCAUUUUUCCAGUGACCCUGCUAUCCACAAUUAGAACAGUGUGUUCCACCAAUGCUGAAGUUGUUACCUCUACAAAAGUUAGACCCUUUGACUAAAUCCUCUACCUCUGCCUUUAUUCCAUAUGCAGGAUGGGAUUACCUAACUCACAGCCCCCUCUUUGUGUACCACACAGAUAUAAUAUUAAUAAGCUUUUAAAGGCUGUAUGGAUAGUUAAAUUUUGUAUAUAAAGCAAGGUUGUCUAGGGGUAUAUACAUCGACAAUGAAAGCAUAGCCUUCAUAUAGGGCUUGCAAUACUGACAGUCUGUGUCAUGAGCAUAAUGCAGACAUGCGGUUAGGUACUUUUCCAUUGUUAUAAUAUAUUGAAAACACUAAGACCUUGCAAAUUUUUAAAACGCAAAUUGCUUCCUGUACCUGGUGCCGUGCAAGGAUGUAAUUGGGACAUAUUUCAAAUUGAGUAUCAAAAGUCUAACCACAAAACUAAAUGUUAUACGCUUAUCAAGAAAACAAGUUUAACCCGUUAGUGCGUACUUUGGAUAGCCUCUUUGCAUAAAUUGGCACGUAGUGAGAUUAUUAUAUUAUUUAUUAAUGCUCUUCUGGAUCUGCAAAAUGCUUUCAAUUUACCCAUACAAAUAUAAUACAGUAGUUUAGGAGAUUAAAAUUACCUCACUUAUAAAUUUCAGAAAUUGUCUAAUCUCCAAUAAAAAUACCAUGUUAUUAUUACCCCAUAAUCAAUGAGGCAUACUAGAUGAAUCUUACUUUGACACAAACAAUGCAAUAUACUUUAAAAGUAGAGUUAACUCUGAGCUGGACAAUACUCCCCUAUUAGAACUCCUUUAUGAGGGAGAGACAUCUUGUCCAUUCAAUCCUUUUUAUCAGUAAAAGAAUGACUUUCAGGAUUAAUCAGUUUGCAAAUGGAAAUGUGGAGCCACGAUUUGAACAGCAGAAGUUUGCGGGGCCCCUUUCACGUGGGAUGUAACAAGCGCUUUUCGUGCUCCAGGAGCGAUAGCAUACAAUUGUUUCAUUCUAGCCGGCUGGACAGCAUUUCACCUUUUGUAAAAACACUAAAUGCUUGCGUUAAUGAUAUGCAAAUCACUCUGCUAGUUAAACUCCUACACAAUGGACAAUAAAAUACAUAAAACACAUAACACACCAAUUCAUUUCAAACCAUAUAACUCAUACUCAGCAUUCAAUGUAAUAUUACAUGUCAUCUCACAAAACAGACAUCUCACAAAACAGACGUAGUAGAUACACGUAUCGGGUACCCAGCAGAUAUGCCAAUACAGAAAACACAUUCAUGAGCACACAACUACACACUCUGUGUCCCUCCUAGGAAACACAGGUAGACACAAUAUGAAAGCAGUCUUAAACUAAUACCUCCAAAUCUCCAUUCCCAUAUAGCUAUAUCAGAACACAAUCAGAAAACAACACAGCAACAUAUAAAUUAAACCACUUUCCAGUUAAGCUGCACACUUCACACAUUAUCACAGUCACCAUUUACACAGAAUAAACAGUUAACAGCUGUACUCAGAACAUAUUAUAAGGUAUACCAUUUUUAGUUUAUAUUAGAUUUAUUUUAGGGAUUCUUAUGUAUACUUUAUUUUAUUAUUUUUUUUAUUUUUUUUAAUUUUUUUUAUUCUUAUUAACUUCAUUACUUUAAUCUACUAUAGUAUUGUAUACAGAGAAAGGAUCCAUUUAUAUAGCGCGCUCAUAACUCAAAUAUUUGUAUGAAACUUCCAUUAACUAAUCUGAGAUGAUACUGCAUCAACUGAAAUCUUAUAGAAAUUGAGCAAACAUUUGGACCAGAUUACACAGACAUGGUUUCACCAGAAUCUUACAGAACUCUCAGAGACUUAAAAAAAAUUAUUCUAUACCAUGUUUAAAAGGCAUGGCAAACCUUAGACCGGUCAGCCUCCAAGAGCCUUAGUAAAACAGGUAGAAACCUUUGUCCAUAAUCUCUGAUCCAGGCUAUAUACCACAAUUUAAAAGAACAGAACACAUAUAAUGUGAGACAUAGAAGACACAAAACAUAUGCAGUAGUUAUUACACUGGAUCAUUUAAAAGGAAUCUGUUGCAAUAAAAGGUUAGUUUACAGCGCAAAAUGAAGCAUGUGUUGGACCGCUGAAAAUGUAAAUGUUGCUCUCUUAUUAACAAACAAAAAUCAUAUUUACAGUAUGGAUCCUUUGCAACAAGCACACAGGGCAGGGAAGAUGUGCUGUUUGGUGUUCUAUACAAUUAAUCCCAUAUGGGGAAUUAACUUUCAAAUACUAAUGAUGUGACUUUUUGUCUCAGUUAUAAAAAUACUGAGCUCAUCAUGCAAACAAUGCAACACGUUUACACUAUCCCACUCUCAUAGAAAGUGUAGUGGGCUUAUGGUAUUAAAGCAACAAUCAUAUCAGGCACACAGAUCCCAUGUGAAAUAACUUACAAUACAACAGAGUAAUAAACUUAUACUUCUAUGCGACAGAAAGAAUAAAGCAAAAGAUUUAAGUAGGUCUAUCAGGUACAACCUGCGAGUCAGUUCUUUUCUAAUAUACAGUACUGCUAUUAUAUAUAUAUAUAUAUAUGUAUAUAUAUUGGUCACUCAGGACCAGAACUUACAUUUCCCAUACUGCUGACUCAGGGUGGACACACUACUAACUUACCAAAGUGUGUCCCCAAUAUAGACAAUCACCCAAUUAAUGGAGAGUCAUUGUUUGCAAUAAAGACAUGGACACUACAAAUGUGCUUUAACAAGAUUCUCAGUGAGUAUAUUUUCAGGGCUAGCAUAUAAAGCAAAAAGAGUUUAACUAUUUCAUAUCCUUACAGUCAGCACUAAUGAUUAUAAACCUUAUUUAAGCAUAAAAUACAUAUGAACAAGAAAAGUUAACUACUUCAUAUUCUUACAUGGUAAUUUCCCAUUCCUAGGACAAAUCUUUCAAACACUUAUUCACACUCAGAACCAGACUUAACUAAUGACAAUUAGAGGGUGGACAAGGUGAACCUGAAACUCUGUGCACACUAUCGUAGUAUAUUCACUUAUAUACUAAAUUCUCUGUCUAUAUCACUUUAUAGACUUUAUCUGUCCAAUUCUCUUAUUAGACCUUCUCUAGUUCACUUACUAGAAAUACAUAUAUCUCUCUGUCUAGUUCCCUUACUAGACUAAUUUAACGGGACCUUAUGUAAAACUGAGUCACAGAAAACACAUAUACUAAAUAACCUUUCCUAAAAUGAUGUAGACUUACAAAACCAUGGGGAUCAUAGAUUCAGGGCGUCAAGAUAGACACAAGGAAUUACUACUCACCCAAAAUGGUUUUGGCUACAAUCCCACUUCUGACACCAAGCUGAAAGGUAAAUCUGCUACUCUGGUGACUCGGUCCCUCUGGUCACUAUUCUCCAACCCUCGAUUGUCAGCUGAAUAUUCAGGGAAGAUUUUUAUGGAAGCGUAUUAACCAGACACACACUUUUUGCUCUCCAUAAUCUUCUGAUCGUUUAUUCAAGAUUCGCUAUAUUUAUACUAUACUUGUCACGAAUAUUGGUUACAAAAGGUUACAAAAAGGUUACAAA